GGGGGGCACAGUAGGGAAUCUUCGGCAAUGGGGGCAACCCUGACCGAGCAACGCCGCGUGAGUGAAGAAGGUUUUCGGAUCGUAAAGCUCUGUUGUAAGUCAAGAACGGGUGUGAGAGUGGAAAGUUCACACUGUGACGGUAGCUUACCAGAAAGGGACGGCUAACUACGUGCCAGCAGCCGCGGUAAUACGUAGGUCCCGAGCGUUGUCCGGAUUUAUUGGGCGUAAAGCGAGCGCAGGCGGUUUGAUAAGUCUGAAGUUAAAGGCUGUGGCUCAACCAUAGUUCGCUUUGGAAACUGUCAAACUUGAGUGCAGAAGGGGAGAGUGGAAUUCCAUGUGUAGCGGUGAAAUGCGUAGAUAUAUGGAGGAACACCGGUGGCGAAAGCGGCUCUCUGGUCUGUAACUGACGCUGAGGCUCGAAAGCGUGGGGAGCGAACAGGAUUAGAUACCCUGGUAGUCCACGCCGUAAACGAUGAGUGCUAGGUGUUGGAUCCUUUCCGGGAUUCAGUGCCGCAGCUAACGCAUAAGCACUCCGCCUUGGGAGAACCCCGAAAGG
rnacentral:rRNA from 1 species